CCUACGGGAGGCAGCAGUGAGGAAUAUUGGUCAAUGGACGAGAGUCUGAACCAGCCAAGUAGCGUGAAGGAUGACUGCCCUAUGGGUUGUAAACUUCUUUUAUAUGGGAAUAAAACGUUCCACGUGUGGGAUUUUGUAUGUACCAUAUGAAUAAGGAUCGGCUAACUCCGUGCCAGCAGCCGCGGUAAUACGGAGGAUCCGAGCGUUAUCCGGAUUUAUUGGGUUUAAAGGGAGCGUAGGUGGAUUGUUAAGUCAGUUGUGAAAGUUUGCGGCUCAACCGUAAAAUUGCAGUUGAAACUGGCAGUCUUGAGUACAGUAGAGGUGGGCGGAAUUCGUGGUGUAGCGGUGAAAUGCUUAGAUAUCACGAAGAACUCCGAUUGCGAAGACAGUUCACUGGACUGCAACUGACACUGAGGCUUGAAAGUGUGGGUAUCAAACAGGAUUAGAUACCCGGGUAGUC
rnacentral:rRNA from 1 species